rnacentral:rRNA from 1 species
GACGAACGCUGGCGGCGUGCUUAACACAUGCAAGUCGAACGAAGAGCGAUGGAAGCUUGCUUCUAUCAAUCUUAGUGGCGAACGGGUGAGUAACGCGUAAUCAACCUGCCCUUCAGAGGGGGACAACAGUUGGAAACGACUGCUAAUACCGCAUACGAUCUAACCUCGGCAUCGAGGAAAGAUGAAAGGUGGCCUCUAUUUAUAAGCUAUCACUGAAGGAGGGGAUUGCGUCUGAUUAGCUAGUUGGAGGGGUAACGGCCUACCAAGGCGAUGAUCAGUAGCCGGUCUGAGAGGAUGAACGGCCACAUUGGGACUGAGACACGGCCCAGACUCCUACGGGAGGCAGCAGUGGGGAAUCUUCCGCAAUGGACGAAAGUCUGACGGAGCAACGCCGCGUGAGUGAUGACGGCCUUCGGGUUGUAAAGCUCUGUUAAUCGGGACGAAAGGCCUUCUUGCGAACAGUAGAAGGAUUGACGGUAC